rnacentral:rRNA from 1 species
UACAGAGGUCUCAAGCGUUGUUCGGAAUUAUUGGGCGUAAAGCGCGUGUAGGCGGCCGUGCAAGUCGGGGUGUGAAAGCCCUCGGCUCAACCGAGGAAGUGCGCCCGAAACUGCAUGGCUUGAGUACCGGAGAGGAUGGCGGAAUUCCCCAAGUAGAGGUGAAAUUCGUAGAUAUGGGGAGGAACACCGGUGGCGAAGGCGGCCAUCUGGACGGAUACUGACGCUGAGGAGCGAAAGCAUGGGGAGCGAACAGG